CCUACGGGUGGCAGCAGUGGGGAAUAUUGGACAAUGGGGGCAACCCUGAUCCAGCCAUGCCGCGUGUGUGAAGAAGGCCCUCGGGUUGUAAAGCACUUUCAGUGAGGAAGAACGCCUGGUGGUUAAUACCCAUCAGGAAAGACAUCACUCACAGAAGAAGCACCGGCUAACUCCGUGCCAGCAGCCGCGGUAAUACGGAGGGUGCGAGCGUUAAUCGGAAUUACUGGGCGUAAAGCGCGCGUAGGUGGCUUGAUAAGCCGGUUGUGAAGGCCCCGGGCUCAACCUGGGAACGGCAUCCGGAACUGUCAAGCUAGAGUGCAGGAGAGGAAGGUAGAAUUCCCGGUGUAGCGGUGAAAUGCGUAGAGAUCGGGAGGAAUACCAGUGGCGAAGGCGGCCUUCUGGACUGACACUGACACUGAGGUGCGAAAGCGUGGGUAGCAAACAGGAUUAGAUACCCUAGUAGUC
rnacentral:rRNA from 1 species